AAGCUCGUAGUUGAAUUUCGGGCCUGGCUGGACGGUCCGCCCUUCGGGUGAGUACUGUCUGUGGUCGGGUCCUACCUUCUGGCGAAGCGUCAUGGCCUUAACCGGCCGUGGCGGGGAACCAGGACUUUUACUGUGAAAAAAUUAGAGUGUUCAAAGCAGGCAAUCGCUUGGAUACAUUAGCAUGGAAUAAUGGAAUAGGACAAUGGUUCUAUUUGUUGGUUUCUAGGACCGUUGUAAUGAUUAAUAGGGAUAGUUGGGGGCAUUAGUAUUCAAUUGUCAGAGGUGAAAUUCUUGGAUUCAUUGAAGACUAACUACUGCGAAAGCAUUUGCCAAGGAUGUUUUCAUUAAUCAAGAACGAAAGUUAGGGGAUCGAAGACGAUCAGAUACCGUCGUAGUCUUAACCAUAAACUAUGCCGACUAGGAAUCGGGCGAUGUUGAAAAAAUGACGCGCUCGGCACCUCAUGGGAAACCAAAGUGUUUGGGUUCCGGGGGGAGUAUGGUCGCAAGGCUGAAACUUAAAGGAAUUGACGGAAGGGCACCACCAGGGGUGGAGCCUGCGGCUUAAUUUGACUCAACACGGGAAAACUCACCAGGUCCUGACAUAGUAAGGAUUGACAGAUUGAGAGCUCUUUCUUGAUUCUAUGGGUG
rnacentral:rRNA from 1 species